GAUGAAGAACGCAGCGAAAUGCGAUACUUGGUGUGAAUUGCAGAAUCCCGUGAACCAUCGAGUCUUUGAACGCAAGUUGCGCCCGAAGCCAUCAGGUUGAGGGCACGUCUGCCUGGGCGUCACAUAUCGUUGCCCAAUGCCUAUUGCAGUGCAAUAGGAAUUUCUAGGGCGAAUGAUGGCUUCCCGUGAGCGUUGUUGCCUCGCGGUUGGUUGAAAAUCGAGUCCUUGGUAGGGUGUGCCAUGGUAGAUGGUGGUCGAGUUAGAACGAUACCGAUCAUGUGCAUGCUCCCCAAAAUAUGGCCUCUAUGCCCCACACGCGUCUUUUGACGCUCAUGACGAGACCUCAGGUCAGGCGGGGCUACCCGCUGAAUUUAAGCAUAUCAAUAAGCGGAGGA
rnacentral:misc_RNA from 1 species